rnacentral:miRNA from 12 species
AGCUGUCACAUGAACAGUAUGACA